AUGUGCCACGCCUGCACUCCGGUUCCGAGCGCGCCGUCCACACCCCGCUGACGACGGCCCGCUACGUGCUGUUAGCC
rnacentral:sRNA from 2 species